GGUGGUUCUAGGGUAACGCACCCCAGAAUCGGGCUCCCUCCUCUCUGGUUCUGGGUGUGUCACCUGAGAACCGCA
rfam:Myotis brandtii contig175054, whole genome shotgun sequence.